rnacentral:lncRNA from 1 species
CAGGAGUGGUGGCAUGCACCCCUGUAGUCCCAGCUGAGAGGUGGGAAGAUCCCUUGAGCCUAGAAGGUUGAGCUACGGUGAGCCAUGUUGCUGCCACUGCACAUCAGCCUGGGUGACAGAGCAAGACCCAGUCUCAAAUAAUAAAAUAAAAUAAAGUGUUAACUUGUCCAAGAUCCUGUUUCACAGCAGUCAUUGAUGAGACAAAUGAAACAUUUUGGGACACCUUAAAAAAAUCCCAUCAGUGUGGCAGAGCUAGUUUUAUUAUCCCACUUCCUAAAAAGCCAUGAGACCUCAUCAGCCAUGGAAGAAUCUAUGUAAAGCUGAAGGAAUUUGGCCCUUUAAUGAUGCACAAAGACGUAUGCAUGGAUUUUGCAAGUUCCUACUUUCACCUUUAUAAAUGCUGGGUUUCAUCCAUGUUUUAAUUGACUGGAGUUUUAAACAAAAUAAAUACAGAUACCAUAGUGUGUAAUUUUAGAGAUUUUUUUAAGUACAAAAAUGUAUUUGGGCCCCAAAAUGUAUUUGGACUAUGUGCUGCAAUUGAUCUUUCACCAUAUGAGAAAUCCAGGCCCCAGCUGAUUUUUUGGAGUUAAGAAUGAUUUUUUACAUUUUUAAAGGGUUGCAGAAAAGGAAGAAGAAUCAGCAGAGAGCAUUUGUGGCCAGCAAAGCUUAAAAUAUUUCCUAACCGAUCCUUUGCAAAAAAAGUUCACCCACUCCUGUAGUCAGCAGCUCCCCUACUGUGCGCAGUCAGUGUGCCAUCUCAGACUAGCAAAGUUGUCCAGAGAGGAAAGACAGGCCAAAAUAGUUCAGUAUGCUGUCUUACUGGGAGGACAACAGCUUAAGCCACAAAGCCCUGAGUUUGACCCUAGAACUCUGUGGCUACUGGUGACUCAUCUUGAAAAUUAUCAGAUUGAAUCUUCUCUACCGGUUUGAUAACAACUGAUGAGUGGAAAAAGAACGCCAAUCAAAUGUGCAUGCUUAAUAAGCAGCCUCCUUAUUCCCCUCUGCAGAUUUGUGCUUGGAUCAUCUACACUUCCCUGAAUGUUGAAGAAGAUAUGCUAUCCAUGCAAUCCUUGUCGACUGCUUGAUUAAAAAGUGGAUAAACUGUCUUCAGGCCCUUGGAGUAUGGUGUCUGUGUGAAGAAGGGAAUGAGGCAGAAGUAGCAGUCAGUGGUGGCUGAAGUAGGAGAAAGUGCUUGCUAAUGAAAUCUUGAUUUUUCUGUGGCUUUUCUGUGCAAUUGGGUGGCUAAGUAGGAAAGCCAUUGGAGCUUCACUGUAUCAAUUCUGCCUUUCUUGUUUUUUGGAACUCCAAUUCACCAAGGCUCCCUGCCACCCUAUCCAUCUAUAACUUUUCAUCACUUUUUCCUCAAAGUAAGAAGUGUGUCCCAGAAAAUGUGCCUUUGUGACUCAGCAACAUUUCAAAUCCAUCUGAGCCUUCCCAGCGUUCCAAAAGAAAUACUGAUUUGAAUUCAGCUGCUUAAAAAACCAGUCUCUAAGCAGACAGCUUGAAACUUCCUUACAGCAAUAGUUUAGGCUUUGGAGGGGAAAUUGGUUUGUUUUUAAUUGUUUUAAUUUUUCAUUCAAUUCAUUUGCCGCCUGAUUAUAUAUGAUCUUUUGAGCCCAAUACUCUGCUAAAUUAACCUUGACUUUCUUUCUCUCUUUCUCUCUCUCUCCUUCUCUCUUUCUUCCUUUCUUUCUUUCUUUUUGACAGAGCCUUGCUCUGUCGCCCAGGCUGGAAUGCAGUGGCACAAUCUCAGCUCACUGUAAACUCCGCCUCCAAAGUUCAAGCAAUUCUCCUGCCUCAGCCUCCUGUGUAGCUGGGAUUACACACGCCAGCCACCAUGCCUGGCUAAUUUUUGUAUUUUUAGUAAAGAUGGAGUUUCACCCUCUUGGCCAAGCUGGUCUCGAACUCCUGACCUCAACCUUGGCCUCUCAAAGUGCUGGGAUUACAAGCAUGAGCCACCAUGCCUGGCCUUACCUUGAUUUUUUUUUUUUGAGACAGAGUCUCACUCUGUUGCUCAGGCUGGAGUGUAGUGGCUCGAUCUUGGCUCACUGCAACCUCCAUCUCCCGGGUUCAAGAGAUUCUCCUGCCUCAGCCUCCCAAGUAGCUGGGACUACAGGUGUGGGCCACCACGCCUAGCUAAUUUUUUAUAUGUUUACUAGAGACAGGGUUUCACCAUGUUGGGCAGGCUGGUCUUGAACUCCUGACCUCAGGUGAUUCACCUGCCUCGGCCUCCCAAAAUGCUGGGAUUACAGGUGUGAGCCACCACACCCGGCCCCUACCUUUGAUUUUUAAGUCAAGAGGGAACAAGUCGAAAUUUCUAUUCAGGUAAACUGUAUACCUUUGGACACUGAAUCACUUUUAGAACCCCAGUAAAAAUCAUGUAUGAAUGACCCACAAUUUCACUCCAACAGGAAGGUGUGUAUAUGUGCACAAAAACAUUAGAUUGUUCACACCGGUGCUAUUCAUAAUAGUCAAAAACUGGAAACAACUCAAACAUCCAUCAACUGUAGAAUGGAUAAAUAAAUCAUGAUAUAUUCAUACCAUGGAACAUAACAGUGACAAUAAAUGAACCACUGCUACACACAACAGAUAUGAAUUUCACAAACAGAAUGCUGAGCAACAGAAGCCAAACACAGAAGGAUACACAUUUAUAAAUCCAUUUGUAUGAAGUUCAUAAACAGACAAAAUUAGUCAGUGGAGAUUAUUCUCAUAGAAGUCUGAAGGGUAGUUGUCUUUAGGGAGGGGGAUAUAGUGACUGAGGUGGGUAUAAGGGGUUUCUGGGGUUUGGUGAUGGUACACCAGCAUAUUCACUCUGAAAACUCAUUGAGCUGUGCAAUAAUGAUUUUUCAAACUUUUAUAUGUGUAUGAUAAUGCUUCAAUAAAGCUUUGCUUAAAAACACGCAUAGUCAUUGCUAUGGUGUGAAUGUUUGUGUGCCCCCGUUCACCAAAUUCAUAGGUUGAAAUCCUAACCCCCAAGGUGAUGAUAUUAGGAGU